GUAAAAAUAUCAUGGGUUGCACACAGCUGCUUCUUAAGAAUGGAGAACAAGGAAUUGCCAAUCCAAGGAAGGGUUGAGCAUGUGGUAGUCUUAAUUUGAACUACCUAAAGGAACUGGGCGUAGACUAAUUGAUGUUGGGGUUGUGUUGGAGGUUGGAUGCUAACAUGGUAUUUGUUUCUUGAAGAGGCUGAUUCCAUCUCUGAGUUUGAAUGGAUAUAGCAUUUUGAUUCUGCACUGUCAUGGCAUAAUCGGUUUGCUGAUGAUGAAUGACUCGACCUUGUUACUGACUGAUUUUUGCUUGCUUCUAGUGUUCUUUUGAUUUCUAAGUUCUACAGAUGUAUGUUUUCAGUGCCUAAGGAACUAGUACCUGUAAGUUUGGUGCCUUUGUUUCAUAUAUCUAGUACUUUUGACUUUCAUCAUCACUUGUAGCACAGAAGUUGCAGUACUGAUGCUUUGGAUGUAGUGAUUAGUUAUUGUUUGAGAGAGUUAUGAAGAACAUUUUCUCUCUUUACAAACUAGUAUACAAAAUCUGUUGUAUUUUUUGGUUCUAUGUACGAUUUACACUUGUCUAUUUUAUUUUCCUAGUUUUUCUGACUCAUCAUAAUUUCACCUACUACAGUUAUGUAUGAUCAUGGUCAAGGAUAAAAUAUACUCCUGGAUCCAAUUUGGUACUAGUCAUAAGAUUUAGUCUCUGAUUAGAUAACCAAAUCAGACAAAACCAGCUGCACAUGGCAUUAUCAGUCAUUAAUUGGAUGGAACAGUGGGAUCAAUGGGAAAUCAAAUGGGAUUAAUUACAAAGUUGCACAAGAUUGACCAUGAGUUGGGCAGAAUUGGCAAUAUUGAUACCUUUGAAUAAUCAGAUGUUUGAGGUUGGACUGUAUCUGCCAGAUCCAGAUUCUGUGAACCUUAAGAAUGAGAGAAGAAAUGAUGAAUUAGUAGGUGAUGUUUCUUGGCGAAAAUGCAGCAUUAAAUUACUAGUUUGUAGAUUAUUUUAUAAUUCUUCUAACUUGUUCUGUAAAUUAUCUGAAUUGGAUGAGUGUGUCAAAUUUGAACUUAUUACCAUCAUUUAAAUUUUCUUGUCAAUUGUUUUCCUACUACUGCAAUUUCCUCUCUAGAAUAAGAGUAAAUAUUUACUUUGUGCUAUUUUAGAGAUGAGAAUUAUAAACUUGCUUGUAUCUAGUGCUGCCUUUCUACCAUGUUCUGGACAAUUUUUCCGCAUUACGGUUUUGCAAGUGCAACCUGCUUUGUGCUGGAUUAUAAGUUUUCCAUGCACUGCACUGUUUGACUAUUGCAGCCCAUGAUAUUAGAGGUUGAUGUGAAUAGGUUCCACAUGCUUCACAAAACAUCAUAUUUCUUCAUGGCUUAAAGACUAAUUCUAACUGCAAAAAGACUUUAACAGCAUAUUGUGAUAUUCCCCAUUUGAGGUCCUCUUGCAGGUUACUGCUGAGUCCAGUUUGCAGAUGUUGUUUGUUGGGAAGAGGACAUUUUUGCAGAUGUUCUCUUGUCACUUGAACUCGAAAUAGUACUUGUUCUUUUACCUUGAAGUUAAGAACCCGGGCACAAGCUUACCUGCAUUGUUUAUUAUGCAGGUAAAGAAAUUCUAUCUAGGGCAAUGCUGAUUGAUCUAUCCAGAUUAGAACCACCAAAAUGAUCUUGUCCCAUCUUGUCCUGCAUUAGGAUCAAUCUUCAACUCAUCAUGAUUGCCAUACUUGGUAGGCAUUUACUUCAGUAGGUCUUGUUCUCUCUGCAUUCAAGAUUCAAGUACCAAAUAUGGAUCGUUGGAUCAUGAUUUGACAAUGUGGAUUGGUGACUGGUUUAAGGGGUAUGUAUAAAUAAUUCUUGAAUUUGAAUGAUAAAGGGCUCUUUCAAGUGGGAUACAAGAAUUAUCAUUUCUCU